rnacentral:rRNA from 1 species
AACGAACGCUGGCGGCAGGCCUAAUACAUGCAAGUCGAACGGUGUCUUCGGACAUAGUGGCGCACGGGUGCGUAACACGUAUGCAACCUACCUUACAUUGGGGGAUAGCCUUCCGAAAGGGAGAUUAAUACCGCAUAAGACAGUAGCUGGGCAUCCAGCAGCUGUUAAAGAUUUAUCGAUGUAAGCUGGGCAUGCGUCCAAUUAGCUAGUUGGUGAGGUAACGGCUCACCAAGGCAAUGAUUGGUAGGGGAACUGAGAGGUCAAUCCCCCACACUGGCACUGAGAUACGGGCCAGACUCCUACGGGAGGCAGCAGUAGGGAAUAUUGGGCAAUGGACGCAAGUCUGACCCAGCCAUGCCGCGUGCAGGAUGAAGGCGUUAUGCGUUGUAAACUGCUUUUAUACAGGAAGAAACGACUCUUGCGAGAGGCAUUGACGGUACUGUAUGAAUAAGCACCGGCUAACUCCGUGCCAGCCGCCGCAGUAAUAC